rnacentral:rRNA from 1 species
GCCUACGGGGGGCAGCAGUAGGGAAUUUUCGUCAAUGGGCGCAAGGCUGAACGAGCAAUGCCGCGUGAACGAGGAAGGUCUUCGGAUCGUAAAGUUCUGUUGAAGGGGAAAAAGAGCGGAGAGAGGAAAUGGUCUCCGAUUGAUAUUACCCUUCGAGGAAGUCACGGCUAACUACGUGCCAGCAGCCGCGGUAAUACGUAGGUGGCGAGCGUUAUCCGGAAUGAUUGGGCGUAAAGGGUGCGUAGGCGGCCUGCUAAGUCUGGAGUGAAAGGUACCGGCUCAACCGGUACAGGCUCUGGAAACGG